GAUUACACAAACCGUUAACUCGUUAAGGGUCUCCCACUAAAACCAAAACUGUUUUGCAGUUUUCAUUUGUGAGAGUUGGUUAUGGAUGGCUCAAAUGAUGAGCCACGAAGAACUACCGAUCCGAAUCCACUUCGCUAUCGACGAAGUCUACGACGAUCCCUCGCAACUCGAGGAGGCCCAGCUCCGUUUACACCACCUCAAGACCAAGUUUCACAAGGUCUUCGGGCACCUUCCUCAAGUCUGCGCUCGCUCUCCAGGGAGAGUGAAUUUUAUUGGAGAGCAUACAGACUAUGACGGAUUCUCGGUGUUGCCGAUGGCGAUACGGCAGGAUAUAUACUAUUGUGGCGAUUAGGAGGAACGAAGGGGAGAAGGUUCUGAGAAUUGCGAAUGUUAAUGCUAAGUAUGAAAUGUGUACUUAUCCUGCUGAUCCUAACCAGGAAAUUGAUUUGAAGAAUCGUAAAUGGGCCCAUUAAAUCAUUUGUGGGUCAGAACUCGAGAUUUUGCUUGAUUGUUGUUUUGGUCUCUGUUAUGUUGUGAUUUGCUUAAUAGAAACGAAGGAAUUUUGCUAUGCUCUGAGUGUUGUGACAUUACUUUAAUUCAUCUCCAGUAAUAGAGUGUUCACCAGAUUUGCGAGUGAAAUCAGUCGGAUGCUACACAUUUGUUUACUGUCUUCUCUUGGUGUUCUCUGUUAUCUGUAUAUUGUGGCCACAAGGACUUUGUUUGAUUUUACAGCUAAUGAGUUAAAAAGUAUUAUUGUUCAAUUGUCAGUAUUAAUUAAGCCAAUAAGGCAUAAUUGUUCAUAGAAAUUUUUUUCCAGAUGUUUUCUUUGCACCUUUUCAGGUUACAUGAAGAUCAAGAUGACUAAAUUCUUUGGUUCCAGGUAAGACUUAAAUUUAAGGAGGCUGACUACAUGAACAUGGGACUGCAAUUUGGUUCAUUGUGAGGAUUUGACAUUCACUGAAUACCAAUUCCUAUUUGUUUAGCUGCUCUGUAAUAGUUGUUCAAGUAGGCAAUUCCUCAUCAAUUUUUCAUUUUCUUUUUUACCUUUUUGUCACAACAAUUCUGCAUAAAGAAAUUCAACCUGCUCAAGCCUGAGUGUAGAUCAAACGAUUGCCCUUAGCUAUUAGUGACGCAACCAUUUUACUCUAGCCAUAACUCUUUUUUCUCUAACUUAUUUUGUAGUUGCAUGCAUAAGAUCAGUUCUAUUGUUUACAUGUUAUUCAGCCAAUUUAAGAAUAGGGCAAACAUAUAAUCAAAUGAUGGUCUGGAAUUGAAUAAUAAGGUUUUGUAAGUUUUGAUCUAUUGUUUAGGUGUUGUAAGUUUCAAACUAUGAUUUGAUGACAAUUGAUUAAUUUAUAUUGUCUUUGUUACUUCUUUGCUUUCAGUUGUUUGUUGCAGCCAAUCGAGUGCUGGAAGACAGAUUAAAUGGAAUAAAUUGGAGGUUCAGGAAUCCAACAAAGCUUUUCUCUGAGAGUCAAGUAGUGUGCUGACACUUUGAGAAGCUUAGAGACUGACAAUCCAAUAGUAAUCGACUUCCAAUGUUGUUCGAUGUGUUAGGCAUGAAGCCUACUAGGUUUAAUUUACUAGCAAGUGUAGUCCUUCUAAGUAAGGUUAUCUAUGAGGAUGUAUUCUUUUUACUUCUUUUAGAGAGUUACCAUGCAAGAGGUUUGAACACAAUGGUGGAGAGCUAAAUCACCGGUCAAGAGUACUGUUUUGUUCUCUCAAUGUCCGUUAGAAUUAAUGAUACUGUGAUUUUUUG